GGAGGAUUAGCUCAAAUGGUAGGGUGCUCGCUUUGAACGUGAGGGGCAUGGGGCUCGAUGCCCGGAUUCUCCA
rfam:Perkinsus marinus ATCC 50983 gcontig_1104296767954, whole genome shotgun sequence.